AUCCGGCUGUGCCCGAAAGGGAACGGGAACACAGGUGCUGCAUGGCUGUCGUCAGCUCGUGUCGUGAGAUGUUGGGUUAAGUCCCGCAACGAGCGCAACCCUUGUCAUUAGUUGCUACAUUCAGUUGGGCACUCUAAUGAGACUGCCGGUGACAAACCGGAGGAAGGUGGGGAUGACGUCAAGUCCUCAUGGCCCUUAUGGGUAGGGCUUCACACGUAAUACAAUGGCGCGUACAGAGGGUUGCCAAGGAGCGAUCUGGAGCCAAUCCCUAAAAAGCGCGUCGUAGUCCGGAUUGCAGUCUGCAACUCGACUGCAUGAAGUCGGAAUCGCUAGUAAUCGCGGAUCAGCAUGUCGCGGUGAAUACGUUCCCGGGUCUUGUACACACCGCCCGUCACACCAUGGGAGUGGGUUUCACCAGAAGCCGGUCGCCUAACCGCAAGGACGGCGCCGACCACGGUGAGAUUCAUGACUGGGGUGAAGUCGUAACAAGGUAACCGUAA
rnacentral:rRNA from 1 species